UAACACGUGGAUAACCCACCUAUAAGACUGGGAUGACUUCGGGAAACCGGAGCUAAUACCGGAUAAUAUUUUGAACCGCAUGGUUCAAAAGUGAAAGACGGUCUUGCUGUCACUUAUAGAUGGAUCUGCGCUGCAUUAGCUAGUUGGUAAGGUAACGGCUUACCAAGGCAACGAUGCAUAGCCGACCUGAGAGGGUGAUCGGCCACACUGGAACUGAGACACGGUCCAG
rnacentral:rRNA from 1 species